ensembl:lncRNA
GCCGGCCCCCGGCGGCGGUCGCCGCGGGGUCGAGGUGGGCGCGCGGCUGGGCCUGGGAGGCGCGGCCUGGCACAGCGCCACCGCGCGCCGGGGACCCGGCGGGGACUGCGAGUGACGGCACAGCCUCCGGCCUGGCGCGGAGCUCCAUUCGGUCCCUGCCAGCAGCCGGCUGUGCUGUCGGCCCCGGGGCGCGCUCCAGAAGCAGAAAGUUCCAGGGCCACCCAGAUGCUCCCGGGGCUCCUCGGACUUGGUCUCUCCGCUGUCCCGAGGGCCCCGGAGACCCCUUCCAGUCCUCAGCCCCUCGGUGUGCCGAGCCUGGUCCGCGCACCCCUGGGCCCGCGCUGUCAGGUCCUCGAACCGUGCUUGACGUUGCCCUUGACCCAUGGCAGAGCUAGAGCCACGAAGGAUUCGGUUUUGGCGACAUCUCAGAGAUCGUCCAAUGCUUUCAAAAGGGCAGCUGGGCAACCCACAGCGGUUACGCGACUUGCUCGGCGUCCUGGAAGUUCAAGAUGGGGAAACUGAGGCUUGGAAAGCUUAACAUCAUCUGUCCAAAGGCCACCCAAGUUGAAGCCGCUCUUGGGGAAUUCAGACCAUUUCUGCUGUUCAGGGCCACGUGAGGGUCCCCAGAUUCCUCAACAGUGAUGCUGCCUUCACACCUUCUUUUGUACUUUUCCCACCACUUCUGGAAACCUUGGACAGUAACACAGAAGAAUAUUCAACCAUGGCGUUCCUCCACCCCUGAUCUUCCACCCUUUUUAUCUCCUUCUGUCAAAAAGGACGG